rnacentral:rRNA from 1 species
UACGUAGGGGGCUAGCGUUGUCCGGAAUCAUUGGGCGUAAAGGGCUCGUAGGCGGCCAACUAAGUCCGACGUGAAAUCCCCAGGCUUAACCUGGGAACUGCGUCGGAUACUGGAUGGCUUGAAUUCGGGAGAGGGAUGCGGAAUUCCAGGUGUAGCGGUGAAAUGCGUAGAUAUCUGGAGGAACACCGGUGGCGAAGGCGGCAUCCUGGACCAACACUGACACUGAGGAGCGAAAGCCAGGGGAGCAAACGGG